rnacentral:rRNA from 1 species
GCCGUUGCGCCCACCGCGGCCACGGGGGGAGGACGGCAGUACCGGCCUCGCGCUGGAAGCAGUGUAUCCUCUGGGGCGACCCAGCGGCUGGCAGUUUCUAUACGACGGGCUGGUGUUAUAUGGUUCUCGCGGAGGUAGACGUGUGCGACGUUCGCUAUACCAGCGCGCUGUGAAACAUGGCCCUUCUAAUAUAACUGGAGAAGCGUCUUCCGCGCCGGACCGUGUACGAGUGCCUUGGAACAGGACGUCACCGAGGGUGAGAAUCCCGUCUUUGACACGGACCCCCCGGUGCUCUGCGAUGCGCUCUCGAAGAGUCGAGUUGUUUGGGAAUGCAGCUCAAAAGGGGUGGUAAAUUCCACCUAAAGCUAAAUAUUGGCGAGAGACCGAUAGGGAACAAGUACCGUGAGGGAAGGAUGAAAAGCACUUUGGAAGGAGAGUCAAACAGUACGUGAAAUUGUUGAAAGGGAAACGCUGGAAGUCAGUCGGGUUGGCCGGAGCUCAGCCUUGCUUCUGCUUGGCGCACUUUCCGGUCCGACGGGCGAGCAUCGGUUUCGUGGGGCGGACACUGGCGGGAUGAAGGUGGCGGCCCUGGCCGCGUUAUAGCCUCCCGUCGCGAACGCCCCGUGGGACCGAGGAAUCCGGCCGCGAGGCCUGGGAUGCUGGCGUAAUGGCUUUAAACGACCCGUCUUGAAACACGG